GACUCGCAGAGAGAGAGAGAGAGAGAGACAGAAAGUGGCCGCCGGCGGAGAGAAAAGGCGAAGGACUUCUCCUGCCGUCCAACUGUUUCUUUGAUAAUUGGAGAGCUAGGGUCGGGGUUAGGGUUUAUCUCCUCUGCGAAGAUGCUGAGGCGAUUGGCGCUCCGUUCCACCACCAUCGCGUCUCCGGCGAUUCAUUCACUGGCCAAGAUCCGUGUUCUCGGCCGCGGCGAGGGAUGUCUCCCUGCCAAUCCCCGAUCUCAGACGUUCUUGCGGAGUUUCAUCGAUCUCCACCAGAUGGGUAGCAAGGAAUCCAUCGAGAAGGAGCGAGCUCGGCUUGGAGACAGUAUUUGAGAAGCGCGUCGUCACUUUACUCAUCACAUUCAGAUAUUCUCCAGUCCCAUUGUAUACUGAGAUCAUGAUGAAGGGCACCAUCUCCCCCUUGUCUUUCUAGAUCAUUGACUGCAAUUUAUACCUUAUGUCCAAUAUUUUUGUCAUGCCCAUGCUAGUACUGUAUAUCUUUUCUUGUUUCAAUAUUUAGUCCAGGAAAAAAGAUUACUCUCUCUUUGUAUGUGUGUUGUCUGUGUGUGAAAUUCUUGUCAAGUUUCUAGGUACAUCUGAGGCCAUAUGUUAAAUGACCUCUUAGAAUCGAAGUGAAAGAAUUAUAAUUAAACUGGCUUUUAGUUUUCAAAUAAUAAGACAUUACAUGUGGAUGUGAAUAGGAGAGUGUCAAUGUAGCUUUUCUUUCAGCUAGGUUGUGAUUGUCACUUCUAGUUUUCAGUUUCUUUGACAAGAUAGAGUCAAAGUGAAAGAGAUCUAAUAAGCUGGAUGUCCGCUUUCAAUUGAUAGAGGCAUAUUUUUGGAUUCUA